rnacentral:rRNA from 1 species
AUUGAACGCUGGCGGCAUGCCUUACACAUGCAAGUCGAACGGCAGCGGACCUUCGGGUGCCGGCGAGUGGCGAACGGGUGAGUAAUAUAUCGGAACGUACCUUUCAGUGGGGGAUAACGUAGCGAAAGUUACGCUAAUACCGCAUAAGCCCUGAGGGGGAAAGUGGGGGACCGCAAGGCCUCACGCGAAUGGAGCGGCCGAUGUCAGAUUAGCUAGUUGGUGGGGUAAAGGCCCACCAAGGCGACGAUCUGUAGCGGGUCUGAGAGGAUGAUCCGCCACACUGGGACUGAGACACUGUCCGGACACCUACGGGUGGCUGCAGUCGAGAAUCUUCCGCAAUGGGCGAAAGCCUGACGGAGCGACGCCGCGUGGUGGAUGAAGGCCCUUGGGUUGUAAACACCUGUCAGAGGGGAUGAAAUCAUGGUUGGCAAUCCUUCCAUGUUGACAGAGCCUCAGAGGAAGCACGGGCUAAGUACGUGCCAGCAGCCGCGGUAAAG